AAGUCGUAACAAGGUUUCCGUAGGUGAACCUGCGGAAGGAUCAUUAAUGAGUUAGGGUCUUUAAAGGCCUAACCUCCAACCCUUUGCCUACUUUACUAUAUGUUGCUUCGGCGAGCCCGUCCCUUGAGAUAUAGGGACCGCCGGGGGUUUAACCACCUCUGGUCCGUGCUUGUCGAUAGCCAUUUCAAACUCUUUUUUAACUAUGACGUCUAAGUAAAGCAACUAAUAAACAUAAAACUUUCAACAACGGAUCUCUUGGUUCUG
rnacentral:misc_RNA from 1 species